rnacentral:rRNA from 1 species
UACGGAGGGUGCGAGCGUUGUUCGGAAUUACUGGGCGUAAAGCGCGUGCAGGCGGCCGACUAAGUCAGGUGUGAAAGCCCGGGGCUCACCUCCGGAAGUGCGCUUGAAACUGGUCGGCUAGAGUACGGGAGAGGGAAGCGGAAUUCCUGGUGUAGCGGUGAAAUGCGUAGAGAUCAGGAGGAACACCGGCUGCGAAGGCGGCUGCCUGGACCGAUACUGACGCUGAGACGCGAAAGCGUGGGGAGCAAACGGG